GACGUAAUAUUAGGUUACAAUUUUCAAAGUUAUUAUGUGUCAAUAUAUAAAAAGCACAUGUGGAAUAGGCUUAGCAGUAUUCAUAGAAACAUCACAAUGAAGAUACUUCUGCUUUUAUUCGCAGCUCUAGCUAUCAUUCUGGGAGCCGUGGGUGGGAUGAGUACAGCUCCAAAAGCCGGUCUACAUGCUCCUGAGAAUGCAGCUGGCUGCCACGGUGGGCCACCGCCCCCACCACCUACGAAUAGCACAGGCUAAAUCCCAGAACCACGAGACAAAUGUAAUCUUAUUUCUGCUAUCACAAUGGACCAUGAAUAAAUAAUGCAAAGUA